UGGGGAAUAUUGGACAAUGGGCGCAAGCCUGAUCCAGCCAUGCCGCGUGAGUGAUGAAGGCCCUAGGGGUGUAAAGCUCUUUCACCGGUGAAGAUAAUGACGGUAACCGGAGAAGAAGCCCCGGCUAACUUCGUGCCAGCAGCCGCGGUAAUACGAAGGGGGCUAGCGUUGUUCGGAUUUACUGGGCGUAAAGCGCACGUAGGCGGACUAUUAAGUCAGGGGUGAAAUCCCGGGGCUCAACCCCGGAACUGCCUUUGAUCCUGGUAGUCUUGAGUGCGAGAGAGGUGAGUGAAAUUCCGGGUGUAGAGGUGAAAUUCGUAGAUAUUCGGAGGAACACCAGUGGCGAAGGCGGCUCACUGGCUCGAUACUGACGCUGGGGUGCGAAAGCGUGGGGAGCAAACAGG
rnacentral:rRNA from 1 species